rnacentral:rRNA from 1 species
AUUGCCUCAGUAACGGCGAGUGAAGCGGCAACAGCUCAAAUUUGAAAUCUGGCCCCCGGCCCGAGUUGUAAUUUGCAGAGGAUGCUUUUGGCGAGGUGCCUUCCGAGUUCCCUGGAACGGGACGCCAUAGAGGGUGAGAGCCCCGUCUGGUCGGACACCGAGCCUCUGUAAAGCUCCUUCGACGAGUCGAGUAGUUUGGGAAUGCUGCUCAAAAUGGGAGGUAUAUGUCUUCUAAAGCUAAAUACCGGCCAGAGACCGAUAGCGCACAAGUAGAGUGAUCGAAAGAUGAAAAGCACUUUGAAAAGAGAGUUAAAUAGCACGUGAAAUUGUUGAAAGGGAAGCGUUUAUGACCAGACUUGGCCCGGUUGAUCAUCCAGCGUUCUCGCUGGUGCACUCUGCCGGUCCAGGCCAGCAUCAGUUCGCCGCGGGGGAAAAAGGCUUCGGGAAUGUGGCUCCUCCGGGAGUGUUAUAGCCCGUUGCGUAAUACCCUGCGGUGGACUGAGGUCCGCGCUCUGCAAGGAUGCUGGCGUAAUGGUCAUCAACGACCCGUCUUGAAACACGGACCAAGGAGUCGUCUUCGUAUGCGAGUGUUCGGGUGCAAAACCCCUACGCGUAAUGAAAGUGAACGCAGGUGAGAGCUUCGGCGCAUCAUCGACCGAUCCUGAUGUUCUCGGAUGGAUUUGAGUAAGAGCAUACGGGGCCGGACCCGAAAGAAGGUGAACUAUGCCUGUAUAGGGUGAAGCCAGAGGAAACUCUGGUGGAGGCUCGCAGCGGUUCUGACGUGCAAAUCGAUCGUCAAAUAUGGGCAUGGGGGCGAAAGACUAAU